AGGUUAAGCUACAAAGGGCGCACGGUGGAUGCCUUGGUGCUAGGAGCCGAAGAAGGACGGGACGAACACCGAUAUGCCUCGGGGAGCUGUAAGUGAGCAUUGAUCCGGGGAUUUCCGAAUGGGGGAACCCAUGCUUCGUAAUGGAAGCAUACCCAUCUCUGAACACAUAGGAGAUGAGGAGGCAACCAGGGGAACUGAAACAUCUAAGUACCCUGAGGAAGAGAAAGCAAAAGCGAUUCCCUAAGUAGUGGCGAGCGAAAGGGGAACAGCCUAAACCGGUACUUACGGGUACCGGGGUUGUGGGGCGUCUCAUAAGGAGUUACAAAGAAGUAUCGUAGUUGAACAGGUCUGGAAAGGCUGGCCAAAGAGCGUAAGAGCCGCGUAGACGAAACGGUGCUACCUCCGAGACGGACCCCGAGUACGGCGGGACACGUGAAACCCCGUCGGAAUCUGGGAGGACCAUCUCCUAAGGCUAAAUACUCCCUAGCAACCGAUAGUGAAGCAGUACCGUGAGGGAAAGGUGAAAAGCACCCCGGGAGGGGAGUGAAAUAGAACCUGAAACCGUGUGCUUACAAACAGUUGGAGCACGAUUAAUGUGUGACAGCGUGCCUUUUGUAGAAUGAACCGGCGAGUUACGAUUGCGUGCGAGGUUAAGGUGGAGAGCCGGAGCCGUAGCGAAAGCGAGUCUGAAUAGGGCGAAAGUACGUAGUCGUAGACCCGAAACCGUGUGAUCUACCCAUGUCCAGGGUGAAGGUGAGGUAACACUCACUGGAGGCCCGAACCCACUAGUGUUGAAAAACUAGGGGAUGAGGUGUGGGUAGGGGUGAAAUGCCAAUCGAACACGGAGAUAGCUGGUUCUCCCCGAAAUAGCUUUAGGGCUAGCCUUGAAGUGAGAAUCUUGGAGGUAGAGCACUGAUUGGACUAGGGGCCCUCAUCGGGUUACCGAAUUCAGUCAAACUCCGAAUGCCAAAGAUUCAUCUUCAGGAGUCAGACGGCGAGUGCUAAGAUCCGUCGUCAAGAGGGAAACAGCCCAGACCAUCAGCUAAGGUCCCAAAGUAUACGUUAAGUGGAGAAGGAUGUGGAGUUGCAUAGACAACCAGGAUGUUGGCUUAGAAGCAGCCACCAUUUAAAGAGUGCGUAAUAGCUCACUGGUCGAGUGACUCUGCGCCGAAAAUGUACCGGGGCUAAACGUAUCACCGAAGCUAUGGAUUGUACCGCCUUUACUGCUACUUUGAAGAGUUUAGCAGAGGUACAUUUCGUCAAAAUCAACCGAUGGGGAAGGGAUGCGACAUAGAAAUAGCAUCAAGUAAGAAGAUUUUGACCAAAUGCCAAAAAGCUAAACGAGAACUUCGAAGCUGGAGUAAAGGUGGUACAGUGGUAGGGGAGCGUUCUUAUUGCGUAGAAGUCGUACCGAGAGGAGCGGUGGAGCGAUAAGAAGUGAGAAUGCCGGUAUGAGUAGCGAAAAGAGGGGUGAGAAUCCCCUCCGCCGAAAACCCAAGGUUUCCUGAGGAAGGCUCGUCCGCUCAGGGUUAGUCGGGACCUAAGCCGAGGCCGAAAGGCGUAGGCGAUGGACAACAGGUUGAAAUUCCUGUACUACCUCCAUUCCGUUUGAACGACGGGGUGACGCAGGAGGGUAGGGAGAGCGUGCUGCUGGAAUAGCACGUCCAAGCGGUGAGGCUGAGUUUAGAGGCAAAUCCCUAGACUCGUAAGGCUGGGCCGUGAUGGCGAGGGAAAAUAGAAGUACCGAAGUCCCUGAUCUCAAACUGCCAAGAAAAGCCUCUAGUGAGGAAUGAGGUACCCGUACCGUAAACCGACACAGGUGGGUGAGGAGAGAAUCCUAAGGCGCUCGGGAGAACUCUCGUUAAGGAACUCGGCAAAAUGACCCCGUAACUUCGGGAGAAGGGGUGCCUCGGUAGGGUGAAAGCCCGAGGAGGCCGCAGUGAAAAGGCCCAAGCGACUGUUUAGCAAAAACACAGGUCUCUGCAAAACCGUAAGGUGAAGUAUAGGGGCUGACGCCUGCCCGGUGCUGGAAGGUUAAGGGGAAAGGUUAGCAUAUGCGAAGCUUUGAACCGAAGCCCCAGUAAACGGCGGCCGUAACUAUAACGGUCCUAAGGUAGCGAAAUUCCUUGUCAGGUAAGUUCUGACCCGCACGAAUGGCGUAACGAUUUGGGCACUGUCUCAACGAGAGACCCGGUGAAAUUGUAAUACCUGUGAAGAUGCAGGUUACCCGCGACAAGACGGAAAGACCCCAUGGAGCUUUACUGUAGCCUGAUAUUGAAUUUUAGUACGAUUUGUACAGGAUAGGUGGGAGCCAGAGAAUCCGGGCCGCCAGGUUCGGAGGAGGCGACGUUGGGAUACCACCCUGAUCGUAUUGAAAUUCUAACCUACAUCCCUGAUCGGGAUGAGGGACCGUGUCAGGUGGGCAGUUUGACUGGGGCGGUCGCCUCCUAAAGAGUAACGGAGGCGCCCAAAGGUUCCCUCAGAAUGGUUGGAAAUCAUUCGAAGAGUGUAAAGGCAGAAGGGAGCUUGACUGCGAGACCUACAAGUCGAGCAGGGACGAAAGUCGGGCUUAGUGAUCCGGUGGUUCCGCAUGGAAGGGCCAUCGCUCAACGGAUAAAAGCUACCCUGGGGAUAACAGGCUUAUCUCCCCCAAGAGUCCACAUCGACGGGGAGGUUUGGCACCUCGAUGUCGGCUCAUCGCAUCCUGGGGCUGAAGUAGGUCCCAAGGGUUGGGCUGUUCGCCCAUUAAAGCGGUACGCGAGCUGGGUUCAGAACGUCGUGAGACAGUUCGGUCCCUAUCUGUCGCGGGCGUAGGAAAUUUGAGAGGAGCUGUCCUUAGUACGAGAGGACCGGGAUGGACACACCGCUGGUGUACCAGUUGUACCGCCAGGUGCACAGCUGGGUAGCCAAGUGUGGAAGGGAUAAGCGCUGAAAGCAUCUAAGCGUGAAGCCCCCCUCAAGAUGAGAUUUCCCAUGGAGUUAAUCCAGUAAGACCCCUUAGAGAAGAUGAGGUAGAUAGGUCCGGUGUGGAAGUGCAGCAAUGCAUGGAGCUGACGGAUACUAAUAGGUCGAGGGCUUAACCAAAGCUC
rnacentral:rRNA from 1 species